CCUACGGGAGGCAGCAGUGAGGAAUAUUGGUCAAUGGGCGCGAGCCUGAACCAGCCAAGUAGCGUGUAGGAUGACUGCCCUACGGGUUGUAAACUUCUUUUAUAAAGGAAUAAAGUGAGGCACGUGUGCCUUUUUGUAUGUACUUUAUGAACAAGGAUCGGCUAACUCCGUGCCAGCAGCCGCGGUAAUACGGAGGAUACGAGCGUUACCCGGAUUUAUUGGGUUUAACGGGAGCGUAGAUGGUUUGUUAAGUCAGGUGUGAAAGUUUGCGGCUCAACCGGACAAUUGCAAUUGAUACUGGCAGCCUUGAGUACAGUUGAGGUAGGUGGAAUUCGUGGUGUAGCGGUGAAAUGCGUAGAGAUCACGAAGAACUCCGAUGGCGAAGGCAGCUUACUAAACUGCCACUGACAUUGAUGCUCGAAAGUGUGGGUAGCAAACAGGAUUAGAUACCCGGGUAGUC
rnacentral:rRNA from 1 species